rnacentral:rRNA from 1 species
AUUGAACGCUGGCGGCAUGCCUUACACAUGCAAGUCGAACGGCAGCACGGGAGCAAUCCUGGUGGCGAGUGGCGAACGGGUGAGUAAUAUAUCGGAACGUGCCCAGUAGUGGGGGAUAACUGCUCGAAAGAGCAGCUAAUACCGCAUACGACCUGAGGGUGAAAGGGGGGGAUCGCAAGACCUCUCGCUAUUGGAGCGGCCGAUAUCAGAUUAGCUAGUUGGUGGGGUAAAGGCCUACCAAGGCAACGAUCUGUAGUUGGUCUGAGAGGACGACCAGCAACACUGGGACUGAGACACGGCCCAGACUCCUACGGGAGGCAGCAGUGGGGAAUUCUGGACAAUGGGCGCAAGCCUGAUCCAGCAAUGCCGCGUGCAGGAAGAAGGCCUUCGGGUUGUAAACUGCUUUUGUCAGGGAAGAAAUCCUCUAGGUUAAUACCCUUGGGGGGAUGACGGUACCUGAAGAAUAAGCACCGGCUAACUACGUGCCAGCCGCCGCCGUAAAAC